rnacentral:rRNA from 1 species
GACGUAGGGGGCGAGCGUUGUUCGGAAUUACUGGGCGUAAAGCGCGUGUAGGCUGCUCCGAUAGUCGGAUGUGAAAGCCCUGGGCUCAACCUAGGAAGUGCAUUCGAUACUCCGGAGCUCGAGUCCUGGAGAGGAAGGCGGAAUUCUCGGUGUAGAGGUGAAAUUCGUAGAUAUCGAGAGGAACACCGGUGGCGAAGGCGGCCUUCUGGACAGUGACUGACGCUGAGACGCGAAAGCGUGGGGAGCAAACAGG